rnacentral:rRNA from 1 species
AUUGAACGCUGGCGGCAGGCCUAACACAUGCAAGUCGAACGAGUGGCGGACGGGUGAGUAAUGUCUGGGAAACUGCCUGAUGGAGGGGGAUAACUACUGGAAACGGUAGCUAAUACCGUAUACCAUCAUAUGGCCCUAGAUGGGAUUAGCUUGUUGGUGGGGUAACGGCCCACCAAGGCGACGAUCCCUAGCUGGUCUGAGAGGAUGACCAGCCACACUGGAACUGAGACACGGGCCAGACGCCUACGGUAGGCAGCAGUGGGGAAUAUUGCACAAUGGGCGCAAGCCUGAUGCAGCCAUGCCGCGUGUAUGAAGAAGGCCUUCGGGUUGUAAAGUACUUUCAGCGGGGAGGCGUUACCCGCAGAAGAAGCACCGGCUAACUCCGUGCCAGCAGCCGCGGUAAUUC